GCCACCUUAGCUCAAUUGGUAGAGCAACGGUAUCGUAAACCGUAGGUUACCAGUUCAAUUCUGGUAGGUGGCU
rnacentral:tRNA from 1 species